CACCGCGGUUAUACGAGAGGCCCAAGCUGAUAGCCAUCGGCGUAAAGAGUGGUUAGGAAACACAAAAACUAAAGCCGAACAUCUUUGAAGCUGUUAUACGCACUCAAGUACAAGAAGUCCUAUUACGAAAGUAGCUUUACAAUAUCUGAACCCACGAAAGCUAGGGAA
rnacentral:rRNA from 1 species